rnacentral:lncRNA from 1 species
GCCAUCAAUAACGAACGCUCCCUUGGACUCAACCAGGAACAGUUAUAGGAAUCACAUGGUCGUAGGUUCGAUUCCUGGUUAGGUUUAAUAAAUGUACAAAAUUUACACUGGAAAUUUCCAUAUCUGCAAAACUCUUCUACAAAUUAGUUUUAUCGAGCGACGUGCCCAAACUGAUCCUCGUAUCAGCUCUACAGUAGAAUAUAUCUGGAUUUUCGGUUUUGAACGCAUCGCAAAUAUGUGACAUUGAAAAAAAUUGCCUCUUAAUAUGUUCAUUUAUUGAAAUUCAUAUAGCAGUGUUUGAAGCAAAUUUUAUCCUCCAGUUUUGGGUUGGGACUUGGGGUUAGGGGAUAUAUUGGGGAUGUAGGGUUAUAAGAUUGGAAGAUCAAAGACAAAGAAAAGAAAAUACUGUAUUCAUUCAUUCAUUCAUUCAUUCACGAAACAUAACGAUAUUACCAGGACAAGGCCGUCGGAAGUAAAUUAAUAUUGGGGGAGGGGGCUCAAGAAUAAAUCUGAAUUGCUUUCGCUCUUCUUUUGUGUGUUUUGCUUACACAGUUAUACAAAUGGAAAUUAUUGCCCCCCAUGCCCCCACGUCCGACGGGCUUGCAGGAAAACGAAGUUGCAUACGUUUAAAAACAUUGCGUGGAAGCAAAGUUAUUUUAAUUGAUAUCAGAACAUGGAUAGGCGCAGAUAAAGUAUUUCAAAGUUCAUCCAUGGCUGAAUUGAAACAAAUGUUGAAGUUUUUAAAUUGAAUGAAUG